UACGUAGGGGGCAAGCGUUGUCCGGAAUCAUUGGGCGUAAAGCGUGCGUAGGUGGUGCGUUAAGUCUGUCGUGAAAGCCCCGGGCUCAACCUGGGAAUGGCGAUGGAUACUGGCGCGCUAGAGUGCGGUAGAGGAGAGUGGAAUUCCCGGUGUAGCAGUGAAAUGCGUAGAGAUCGGGAGGAACAUCAGUUGCGAAGGCGGCUCUCUGGACCAGCACUGACACUGAGGCACGAAAGCGUGGGGAGCAAACAGG
rnacentral:rRNA from 1 species